GAUGAACGCUGGCGGCAUGCCUAAUACAUGCAAGUCGAACGAGAGGAAGGAAAGCUUGCUUUUCUGAAUCUAGUGGCGAACGGGUGAGUAACACGUAGGUAACCUGCCCAUGUGCCCGGGAUAACUUCUGGAAACGGAUGCUACAACCGGAUAGGUAGCAGACAAGCAUUUGACUGCUAUUAAAGUGGCUAAGGCCAUGAACAUGGAUGGACCUGCGGUGCAUUAGCUAGUUGGUGAGGUAACGGCCGACCAAGGCGACGAUGCAUAGCCGGCUUGAGAGGGCGGACGGCCACAUUGGGACUGAGACACGGCCCAAACUCCAACGGGAGGCAGCAGGAGGGAAUUUUCGUCAAUGGGGGGAACCCUGAACGAGCAAUGCCGCGUGAGUGAGGAAGGUCUUCGGAUCGUAAAGCUCUGUUGUAAGAGAAAAACGACAUUCAUAGGGAAUGAUGAGUGAGUGAUGGUAUCUUACCAGAAAGUCACGGCUAACUACGUGCCAGCAGCCGCGGUAA
rnacentral:rRNA from 1 species